AGAGUUUGAUCCUGGCUCAGGACGAACGUUGGCGGCGUGCUUAACACAUGCAAGUCGAACGGUUUGGUGGGUAAUAAUAUCUUAGCGGCGGACGGGUGAGGAUAGUGGCGGACGGGUGAGUAACGCGUGGGCAACCUGCCUUUAUCAUGGGGAUAACAUCGGGAAACUUGUGCUAAUACCGCAUAACAUCAUGAAAGGACAUCCUUUUAUGAUCGAAGGAGCAAUCCGUAUCAGGAUGGGCCCGCGUCCAAUUAGCUAGUUGGUGAUGUAACGGACCACCAAGGCGACGAUUGGUAGCCGAACUGAGAGGUUGAUCGGCCACAUUGGGACUGAGAUACGGCCCAGACUCCUACGGGAGGCAGCAGUGGGGAAUAUUGCGCAAUGGGGGAAACCCUGACGCAGCAACGCCGCGUGAAGGAUGAAGGUUUUCGGAUCGUAAACUUCUUUGAUGAGGGAAGAAGAAGUGACGGUACCCCAAAAACAAGCCACGGCUAACUACGUGCCAGCAGCCGCGGUAAUACGUAGGUGGCGAGCGUUGUCCGGAAUUACUGGGUGUAAAGGGCGUGUAGGCGGGAAUGCAAGUCAGAUGUGAAAUGCCGAGGCUUAACCUCGGAGCUGCAUCUGAAACUGUGUUUCUUGAGUGCAGGAGAGGAAAGUGGAAUUCCCAGUGUAGCGGUGAAAUGCGUAGAUAUUGGGAGGAACACCAGUGGCGAAGGCGACUUUCUGGACGAUAACUGACGCUGAGGCGCGAAAGCGUGGGGAGCAAACAGGAUUAGAUACCCUGGUAGUCCACGCCGUAAACGAUGGAUACUAGGUGUGGGAGGUAUCGACCCCUUCCGUGCCGGAGUUAACACAAUAAGUAUCCCACCUGGGGAGUACGGCCGCAAGGUUGAAACUCAAAGGAAUUGACGGGGGCCCGCACAAGCAGUGGAGUAUGUGGUUUAAUUCGAAGCAACGCGAAGAACCUUACCAGGGCUUGACAUCCCGGGAAUAAGCAAGAGAUUGCUUAGUCCUUCGGGACAUCUGUGCAGGUGGUGCAUGGUUGUCGUCAGCUCGUGUCGUGAGAUGUUGGGUUAAGUCCCGCAACGAGCGCAACCCUUGUUGCUAGUUACCAGCACGUAAUGGUGGGAACUCUAGCGAGACUGCCGGUGACAAACCGGAGGAAGGUGGGGAUGACGUCAAAUCAUCACGCCCCUUACGACCAGGGCUACACACGUACACAAUGCCCGGUACAGCGAGUUGCAAAGCCGCGAGGCAGAGCUAAUCUCUUAAAACCGGGCCAAGUUCAGAUCGGAGGCUGCAAUUCGCCUCCGUGAAGCUGGAAUCGCUAGUAAACGCAGAUCAUCAUGCUGCGUUGAAUACGUUCUCGGGCCUUGUACACACCGCCCGUCACACCACGAAAGUCGGUAACACCCGAAGCCGGUGACUCAACCGUAAUGGAGAGGGCAGUCGAAGGUGGGGCCGAUGAUUGGGGUGAAGUCGUAACAAGGUAACC
rnacentral:rRNA from 1 species